ensembl:lncRNA PWRN1 Prader-Willi region non-protein coding RNA 1
GCGCGCUUGUUCCUGAGGCGGUGCCUGCCUGUGUCGUCGUCCCUGUUUGUUCUUCUUCAAACGUCAGGAUUUCUCCGUGUUUCCCAGACCGUAACGUUCCAAAGGUGGAAACACAGAUGACAGAUUUUUGGUCUUUUCGUCAUUUCCUAUAUAUGUGUUCAAUAUAUGAUGCCAGAAUAAUUUCACUGCCUAGAGCAAAUCUGCUGUACCUCACCAGUUUGACCUGCCUCUUUUCCAAGCUCCCAGUUUGGAAUAGUUCACCAGUGAAGUCAUCUCAACCAGCACAGGGCCUUGACUCCUAACAACAAUCACACGAACUUGGAAGAGGAGCCUUCCCCACCUGAACCUUCACUUGAGACCUCGUCCUUGGCCAUCCUCUACAUCUGGAUUCAUGAUACAGAGAAACUUGAGUAAUGAUGACAAUAGCAGUCCAGUGUGCAUGGAUGCUGACGUGGAUGCUGUCUCCCAUUCUUACCACUGGAUGGGAAGAAAUGAUAGAUGCAAUCCAGCCAUUGUGUUCUCGACUCUCAGUUCCAUCUUCUCAACUGACAUUGUCUUCCAAAGUCCGUGCCACACCACAGCCUGGAACAUCUCCCAAAGUGGUAUCUUGAUGCAAUGGUAGAGCUCAUGUCACAGUAUUGUAUGUCUCAGGUUUGAAUAACUCACCAGUGAAGUCAUCUUGACCUGGACAGAAAUUGAAUCCUCCCGAGAAUCCCAGGAGCUGGGUAGGUGAUCCUUCCCCAGAUGAGCCUUCCCUUGAAAUCUCUGCCAGGCAUCUGACCCAGAGAAACUGUAAGUACUAUGUAGGGCUGGGUUGGAAAGUCUAAACUAUGUAGUAAUAUGUUAUACAACAAUCGGUCAGUUAUAUGCCUGACAGUAAAUGUAAUGUGGUAUCUUGGAUUAGAUCCUAGAACAGAAAAAUGACACUAGUGGAAAAGCUGGUAAAAUAUGAAGAAAAUCUUUUCCAGUUAAUAGUUUUGUACCACUGUCAAUUUCUGAGUUUUCAUAAAUAUGCUAUGGUGAUAUAAGGUGUUAACAUUUCAGAAAGCUGUAGGAUAUAUGAAACUCUAUUAUCUUUACUACUUUCUGUAAAACUAAAACUAUGAUAAAAUAAAAAUAUUUCUUAAAAUGUAAUAUUCAGGUACCAGAAAAUAAAACAACAAUAACAAA